AUACGGAAGGUCCGGGCGUUAUCCGGAUUUAUUGGGUUUAAAGGGAGCGCAGGCGGAGAUGCAAGCGUGACGUCAAAUUUCGGGGCUCAACCCCGUCUCGCGUCGCGAACUGCGUCCCUUGGUUGCGGGAAGGGGAGGCGGAACUCGUGGUGUAGCGGUGAAAUGCAUAGAUAUCACGAAGAACUCCGAUCGCGAAGGCAGCCUUCCGGCCCGUCAACGACGCUCAUGCUCGAAGGUGCGGGCAUCAAACAGGAUUAGAUACCCUGGUAGUCCGCACAGUAAACGAUGGACACCCGCGGUUUGGCCUGUAUGGCUGAGCCGCCAAGCGAAAGCGUUAAGUGUCCCACCUGGGGAGUACGCCGGCAACGGUGAAACUCAAAGGAAUUGACGGGG
rnacentral:rRNA from 1 species